rnacentral:rRNA from 1 species
UUGUGGGGUGCUCGAGUGGCGAACGGGUGAGUAACACGUGAGUAACCUGCCCUUGACUUUGGGAUAACUUCGGGAAACUGGGGCUAAUACCGGAUAGGAGCUCCUGCUGCAUGGUGGGGGUUGGAAAGUUUCGGCGGUUGGGGAUGGACUCGCGGCUUAUCAGCUUGUUGGUGGGGUAGUGGCUUACCAAGGCUUUGACGGGUAGCCGGCCUGAGAGGGUGACCGGCCACAUUGGGACUGAGAUACGGCCCAG